AUUCGGGGCUUCGUUGCCCAACAUUUUACCAAAAUUUACCGGAUUUGUCGUUAUUAAGCUUUAUCAGGACUAGACUAGAUGUUUGUUCAAUACUUGAGGAGUGCUAAGUUGUUAUAUAGAAUAAGCAUUUUGACAGAGCUCAUGAUGCAUGGUCGUGUUGAGAAUCUUGGGUCAAAGAUGCUGAGUGGAGAUCUCAUGAUCAAUGUGCCACGCAUGCGUUCAAGAACUAUUGAAAAUAUCCAGAUUUGGACCUAAGAUGAAACACUCAACAAGGCUAAAACCAGAAUCAACAGCAUGGAGACUAUAAGAAUAGUAAUAUUUGUUAUCCAAACAAAAACAAAAAACAAAACAAAAAAAACAGGAUUUGUCAUUUGUAUUAAACAACCAAAUAAAAGAAAAAAAUGAGUUUA